rnacentral:rRNA from 1 species
UACGUAGGGGGCUAGCGUUGUCCGGAAUCAUUGGGCGUAAAGCGCGCGUAGGCGGCCCGAUAAGUCUGCUGUGAAAGUCCAGGGCUCAACCCUGGAAUGCCGGUGGAUACUGUCGGGCUAGAGUUCGGAAGAGGCAAGUGGAAUUCCUGGUGUAGCGGUGGAAUGCGCAGAUAUCAGGAGGAACACCUAUAGCGAAGGCAGCUUGCUGGGACGACACUGACACUGAGGCGCGAAAGCGUGGGGAGCGAACAGG